UACGGAGGGUGCAAGCGUUAUCCGGAUUCACUGGGUUUAAAGGGUGCGUAGGCGGGCAGGUAAGUCAGUGGUGAAAUCCUUGAGCUUAACUCGAGAACUGCCAUUGAUACUAUCUGUCUUGAAUAUUGUGGAGGUAAGGGGAAUAUGUCAUGUAGCGGUGAAAUGCUUAGAUAUGACAUAGAACACCUAUUGCGAAGGCAGCUUACUACGCAUAUAUUGACGCUGAGGCACGAAAGCGUGGGGAUCAAACAGG
rnacentral:rRNA from 1 species